rnacentral:lncRNA from 1 species
GUGCUAGUGAAACUGCCCUCAGAGCAGAAAUAAACUGUUGGCUCUCAAGUUUUUCCAGACUAACCGGACUGGCCAAUGCCUGAGGCUCUGUGUUCAAGAUAAAAGUGCCUAAGAAAGAAAAGUGCAGGUAGGCAGUCCCCACUUCUGCAGGGCUGGUGGGCUCUGGGGAUCCUGUCUCAGCCUGCUGAACAGCCCAGAGUGGCUUUAAAAAAAAAAAAAAAGCCUGAACAACCUUUUUUUGCACAUGGGUCACAGUCAAGCUUCUUAAACUUGGAUGACAGUAAACCUAUGACUAACUGGAUAAUUAAAGCCACAAGUCUGGAGGCCUGGGCAGGGCUCUGCUCUGGAAUCUCCGGUGGCCUGUUCCAUAGGCCAGCGUCCCUUGUCCUUCCCAUAGCAGAAAUGCUUUCGUGAGUUGGAAACCCUCUGUGGUGACCUCUACAUCUUCUCAAGGUCAGUUAUCCACUUGUCCAUGGCUUCGUGCCCCCAUCCCACAUCCCUGUCCACUGCAUGGAAGGAGGAAAUCUAACCCACCCGCCACAGUGCAGCCCACACUCCCCACACUGCCCCGACAGGAACAUGACAGAAGGUUUCCAACUAAAACCAAAGUUACUCAGCAAAGCUUCCUGCCAGGCAGCCGUGCUGGAGGGCGCAGCGUGCCUCUGUCUGCUCUUUCUGUUCUAUGAAACUUCUCUGCUGCAAGCACUUGAGAGCCUCUUGGCUUCCUGGGGAGAGUGGACUGAACUUCAAAGCAGACACAGCUGCAGCUAAGAAGCCCCUGGGUUGCCUCAAAGACUCUGUCUCCUCCCAGUCUGAAGCUUCUGGUGAAUGUUUCUCCCUCAUUCCUGAAACAACAGAUAGAGCUGUUGAAGUUUACAACGUCCCCCAAGGCAUUUCUGUGUUUCUGCCUUUAAUCUAGGGCCCAAGUGACCACCCACAAGAAUGCCCCGAACACUCACUGCCUCAGGAUGCGUCCUGCAAUUUACAUUCCCGUGGUGCCUCUGCCUUCACCCCACGCUGGUGCCCCCGCCUCCACUCCAGCCGUCUCUCUGGCCACCCCUGCCCCCUCGCUUCUCUCCAUCAUGCCAAAAAGUGCCCUCGUCCUCUGACGGUGGAAGAGGGGAUUCAGUUAGGAGUCGGGAUGGCCUAUGUGAUUUUUGUACACUAUUCCAGAAUAGGUGUGUGGUUGCUUUAAAAAUCAAAAGAAAUGUGUCUUCCAAA